UAACAUUAAAAAAUCUUUCGACUUCUUCAAAUCUCCUACUGACCUAUAAACUCUGCAACGAAUUGCAAAUUUUAAAAGGACUUUCAGUAACUAAUACCCAGAUAGUAGAAUCAUAAAUUAAGAAAUUAUAAGGUGUUAUCAUAUAAUUAUCUUGUCCAAAGCUUGCUUCUUUUUCAGUCUGUUCGGAUCCAGAGAGGCAAUAUAUUGAGAACAGCUCCUCU
rnacentral:lncRNA from 1 species